GAGAAAGAAAGGGCCAGGUUGAGAUAUCGAGGGCAGGUUGCCCUUCCGGUGCCUGAAGGGCAAACAAAAUGUCAUACCAAGUCAGGCUGUCGUGCUUUUCCUAUGAAUUGGCCUUCUCGCAAUCCCUUCUAUUUUGCCUCACCUCAAUCUGUUGAUGGUAGGUGGGACAACGCUAUAAUAGUUCAUCAUGCUUCAUUGCUGCUGUUCAAUUUGGGUUCAUGGUAUCUCAAUUUCAAUUAGGUUUGGUCAUUUGUACAACCUGUUUAUGUGUAUGUGGGGAAAACCUGUUUAUAUGUAGAAUAUGCCUUGCUGAUGAUCUGGAUAUCCUCAUAUAUAUAUUAUACCUGUCAUUUUAUAUGUCAGUACACACUCAAACAGAAAGUUGAUGUCAUAAGGGAUGUUCUUGGAACUCAAACAUACUUGCAUCAAAUGUUAUCUUUUGAAGUAC
rnacentral:lncRNA from 1 species